rnacentral:rRNA from 1 species
UACGGAGGGUGCGAGCGUUGUCCGGAAUCACUGGGCGUAAAGGGCGCGUAGGCGGCUACUUAAGCGUGUGGUGAAAGUCCGGGGCUCAACCCCGGAUCGGCCGUGCGAACUGAGUGGCUUGAGCACUGUAGAGGCAGGUGGAAUUCCGGGAGUAGCGGUGGAAUGCGUAGAGAUCCGGAAGAACACCGGUGGCGAAGGCGGCCUGCUGGGCAGUGGCUGACGCUGAGGCGCGACAGCGUGGGGAGCAAACAGG